AUGAAUGCUUCGGCCCCUCUUCAAGGCAAGCCAAACCGAAGUAGCAAACCCAAAGAAAUUAAGAGUUGUAGGGAGGGGUGCAUUGUUGUCAUGUUUCGAGGAGCAGUCGUGGAUUUCGUGAGAAGUCUCUUCGAGCACGACUCGGCCACACGGAUAUUCAGCAUCGAGCUCUUUGUGGUGACGGCGACUCUGCUUCUGGUGGUGAGGUUCCUUAUCGAUUUGUAUGGGCCCUGGUAUUCAAACUUGUUCAUCGCGCUCGCAGUGAACCAAAUGGAGGGAGUCAACUUCUUCAUGGUGCACUACACUCUGGCCCUGAUGCAGACCUCGGGGGCAAGAGUGAGUGAAUAUUUCCAGGUGUGGGCGGUGCUUCUGGUUACUCUGCAGUACAGCGUCAAGAUUGGGCGCCCGUACAGCAGGUACCAGCAGAUCCCGCUGUCGGACCUCAUGUCCUCCGUCUGGGGAGCCAACAUCCUUUGGUUGCAUACCAGUCCAGAUCUGAAGAUCCCUCUCUGGCUCAUCUGGUGCCUCAACGCGGGGCGCAUCAUCACCUACUUCUGGUCCUCCAGCAAGGCUUCCGCGAGAAACGAAGAUAAUACCAAGUUCAUCAGUGACUACAUGAGUUACGAGCACACACUCAGCGACUCCGUGGAUCCGGCGCCUCACAGGAUGAGUGGGUACAAGUACCUUGUUCUUGGCGACGAGCUGCAGAAUAUCAAAGCUGAGCCUCCCAAGUUCGGGCUUGAAUUGGACCUGAAGCACAACAGGGUUGUCACGGUGGAGAGGAUAUGGCAGCAUGACAAGAGUGGGUUGCUAGGCAGCCACGCUGGAGCUGACCCUGACAACCAACUCAAGGAUGUGUGCCUCUCAUUCGCGCUCUACAAGCUGCUGCGUCGUAGGUUCUACGAUCUCCCCAUCCAUGAGGCCGGGCAUGACAAGACGAGGCGGCUUGUCUUGGACGGCAUCCUGCUGCAGCAAGGCGGCCACGACCACGAGCGGGUGUUCCACAUUGCACAGAGGAUUGACCCAGCAGACCCCAACAGAGUUACUCAUGGGGUGCUGGUCAGCCGAUGCAUCAUUGCCCUUAUCGUCGGCAAAGAGCUAUGUGAGAUCUUUAUGUAUGUAUUCUCACAAUGGACCAAGGUUCUGAUGAUUUGCUGCUACGUCAGAGAUCGGAGAUGGCAGCACCCCGUCGUGGUUGAGCGGAUGAUGAGGGUCAUGUUCUGCUUGAUUUCUUGUAGGGGGAAAUGGAAGGAGGAGAUCGGCCAGUACAACAUCUUGAUUGAUGCCUCCUUCGGAAACAGUUGGAUGAAGCGGUGGAGGAAUACCCUAUUUCCGCCAAGAAUCAAGCUGCCGACACAGGCAAAGAAGGCUAUAAUCCACGUAUUCAGAGGCAUGCAAGACCAAGGGGGACUAAAAUGCUACCUGUCAAGGCUGACACCCCAAUUCUCAUCGGCGCUGGAGGCUGACACCCACAGGAUACUGGUCUGGCAUAUUGCAACCUGCCUAUGUGAGAUCCACCUCUCCACUCAAGUUGAUGGAGGCUGGCCGUUGAUAGCUUCCAAGAUGCGGGCAAGGCCGUUUGUCAACGCAUCAGAUGUCCCAGCUGAUACAUGGGGCCACUACAUGACUGCCGUUAGCCUAUCCAACUAUUGCGGCUACUUGCUUUGUACAGCACUCGUUCCCGAUAAUGGCCUUGUUGUAGACCGUGUAUUGGCUGCCGUCGCUAGGGAAGUCCACCUUGCCACUCGCCGGUGCAGGGGCUUGGAAGACAUCCAUGGCGUGCUACUCCGCGCAGCAGAACGCCGCCAGGAUCCUUGUGAUAAGAAACUGAUCGACAUGGAAUUUUGA
rnacentral:rRNA from 1 species